rnacentral:lncRNA from 1 species
CACAGAUUCAUUUCCUUAUGAAUGACUUCAGGAAGCCAGCAUUUUUAAUAAAUAGGAAGUAAAUUAUAUUUAAUGACUAAAUUCUCACCUAAAGUUGAUACUAAUAUUACAAUAACUCUCUUGUGCCCUAUUUUGGUGUUUUAAACUUCUUUGCUGUACAUUUAAGAAAAUCAGAAUUUCAGUAGACUCCUCGUGCAGUCUGAGGAGGCAGUUUCCUAUCUGGUUUGACUUAAGGGGCUGCAGAAGACAUUCUUAUCCCACAUAUUUCUUCUGCUGAUCAGUCAGCAACUGAAAUUCCAACUAAUGGAUUCCAUUCUUCCAGUUAAGACAUCAUCUCCAGAAAACUGUGCUAGUUGGCAUCCAGCAGUGCCCAAGUAUUAUUUAACCCACUAGAACCUGUGACUGCAUCAGCUUUAUAUCCUGGACCUCAGCCUGGAACAAAGGAGAGCUACACUUGGAUACUAAACACAAGUGGUCUGGAUAGAUUAUGCUGGGAAAAGAAGCCUGGAGCAGGCAGUACAGUGGGAGAACAAGACAGAAGUGCUUGCCUUGGUGAUCCAAAAAAGGCAGGAUCCGGCCGGGGGCAAGGUGAUUAUUCUGUCUGAUGAGGAGAAUAAGAGCCAGUUUGUGGUAUUGACAGAAGAAUGAAAGUAAAGUCUUGAAAGAUGGGAAGAUCAGGAGCAGUCUGGAGUCAUGGUAUAUGAAUGAACUAGUGAGAGUGGGCACAAAGUCUGAAGAUCUUUGUAGUGCAGCUAAUGUCUAAGGGAGAAUAUACCUACCCUAGAAGAGACAUUAAACAACCAGUUCAACCAAUCUACAAAGGCCAAAAAUAUUUUCACAGGCCCCCAAAAGAUGAACUCCAAUCUGCUGCCCCUAAACGCAUUCUCCACUGUCUGGAAGAUGUGCAAAGGCAACGGCACAGCGUUCUCCAUCUCAAAUCCUUCAAAGUGCUGUCAGAAUAAAAGAAUCCCCACCAAAAGCCCCAGGGAAAUCUAUCUGUCUGUAUGGUAUGGUAAUGACUGAGGUUAUUCCAGAUAGGAUUCUGGGAGAAACUCAGCUAUUGAAAUCUAAUGAAUGGAACUGAGAAUUUCUUGUUAUAAUACUGUUUGUUUGAUUGAAUAUAUCCUUGCAUAUAGGAAGACAUAAAAAUAAAUAAUAAAAGCAAGAUAUUAUUUGAAUUUUUGUUUGAUUAUAUAAUCUGAGAAUUUUUCUGGUAAGUAAUUUUGCAUCUGGAUUUAUUUUUUCUGCCAGUCACUUGCCUUUCUAGUUUUAUGUCAUUUUUAUCUCUUUCCUAUUUUAAUGUCAGCACCUAGGUUUACAUUAAGGAUUGUAUUUUUUUAAUCACCAGGGAUUACAACAAUUUAUGUUCCUUUUCUAGCUGC